rnacentral:snoRNA from 1 species
AUUUGAUGAUGUGGGCAUUGUAUUUUAAGAUCAUUAAAUCUAUCCCAAGCUUCGUAAAAUUCUUCAUUAGGUUUUUGUAUAAAUGUUUGAAUUAUAUUUCGCAUAUC